rnacentral:rRNA from 1 species
UACAGAGGGUGCGAGCGUUGUUCGGAAUUAUUGGGCGUAAAGGGCGCGUAGGCGGUGCGGUAAGUCACCUGUGAAAUCUCCUGGCUCAACUGGGAGCUUGCAGGCGAAACUGCCGUGCUGGAGUGUGGGAGAGGUGCGUGGAAUUCCCGGUGUAGCGGUGAAAUGCGUAGAUAUCAGGAGGAAUACCGAUGGCGAAGGCAGGUCUCUGGGCUGACACUGACGCUCAUGCACGAAGGCGUGGGGAGCAAACAGG